GGUGAAACCCUGCUUUGCAAUCAGAACAUUGUCAAAUUAGCAGUAACUGGCAAUGCAGUAAAUAAUGUGCAGUAGUAGGAACAAGUGCUAGGGGGAGCAGAAGAGCUGUCGGAAAAGUUUGUUCUGCUGCCAUCCACCAUUGGUGUGUUGCCGAGGGGCUUGCUGAAGAGCAGUGCAAGGUCUCUCCACAUGUCUGGAAGUUAAUUCUUCUUCAUUCUGCCAAGUGCCUUUUCUUUUCUCUUUCAAACGGCUCUCAAUAUCAUCCACCUGGUUCUUCUGUUGCCUUCUGUGUGCUAAUAUCUACCUGUUGCUUCAGUAAUCACUACUGUUUUGAUAGCACUUCAUAGAUUUAUCUUCCUGAGAGUGUUUAUUCUGUUGCAAAGCACUCUGCAUAGUAAUAGAGCAUUCACUCAUUUGAUGAAUGUAUGAGGUGCCUCUUCAGUGCCACGCUAAAAGGACAGUGCUAAUGCAAAAGCAAAGCUCCCCGCUCAGACAUCGAGACUGGACAAAUAACUGACCAAUCCAUAGCAAAAGCAAAUGUGAAACCCAUUAGAUAAAUCUCCCCUCCAUAAAAAGUUUAGUCUGGCAAAGUGCAAGGCUGAGAGAAAUUCUAUAAAUACACCAGGACGGGAGGAAAACGGGAAGCAAAUGCCAAGGAGGGAGAGCAACUGCUUCAACUAAAGGCAACACUGGCACGGGAACAGAUGGGUGUCAUCUAGCCACUGGUAACUUUAGGCUGGUAAUUAGAAGGUUCCCAACCAUCAGAGGAGAGAGAUUCUGGAACAAACUCCCAAGAAGUGAUGCUUUUUGUUGUGUGUUUUGCUUUUUUUCACCCUUCUUGCUUGGAAAUGAGGUUAAGAUAGACCUCGGUCAGCUGUCACAGGGGUUGUGUCUGAUGUACUGGUGGUGUCUGCGUGUGUCCUCCCUCCGUCCUGGGUCCCCACAGUCCUCAGCAGAAGGGGUGGAGGAGAGAAUAGCAUGCGAGUAAACCUCAGCAUAUAUGCAGUGUGAGUUCACCGAGAGGGUUUGCAUCAUUCCCAUCCUGGCGGACGAGAGAGGAAAUAGCCGAGAGCUCUCCUUUGUGCCUCUGUGGCACAGAGGAUCAGUCCCAGAGCAGAGCUUCUGGUGCAAAGGCCUAAAGAUACAAGGAGGCAGCAAAGCUCACCCUGGGGAGCCUGCCCCUCUACAAGGGCCCUCCUCAGCGCUGGAGAAGACAGACCUGGAGCAGAACAUAGCCCUGAGCAGCUAUUGCUUUUGCAGCUCGUCAGCUCCAUAUCUGAGGUCUGUAGCAUGAGCUUAUCUCCAAUGAGAUCUCAUUGAUUCUGAAUUACUUCUCCUGCUGCUAAUGCACAACAGGCAGAUGUGUAUUCUCACACCCACUGCUCACCUGGUUUUCUGUUUUUUGCUUUAGUAAUUGUGAAAGUCACCUGAUAAUUCAGCUAAAAGCCCUUACGAGACAUUACAUAAUGUCCUCGGAGAAACCCUGUCUGCUGCAACAUUGGAUAGAUUAUUAUGUAAAACUUUCUUUCUUUUUCUCAGUUGUUUGUUUUUGGGUGGGGAGUCAGGCUGGAUUUCCACUUGGCUGAACCUAAAAGGCUUUGGGUUUACUCUGGAUUGCUCCACUAUUUUAUUAAUCUCUGGAGACUCUGCUGGAAUUGGCCUCAGCAUCACAAGUGAAAUGAGUUUGGCAGGGCUCUCUGGAGGCUAGGCAGCACACCUGGCCGUGCUCUGAGGUGCGAUUCAGCUCAAGUGGCAACACUUACUCAAGAAAGCCCCCAGCUCUAAUGUGAUGAUUUAAUUAGCAUCACUGGACCAGCUCCAUGGGAUAAAACCUUCUCCCUGUGCUCCCUCAGGAGCGCUGUGCUUUCUGUACGCUGAAAGGAUUGUGCAUUGCCUGCAAACGUGGGCAGGAGAGCUGUGAGCAGGCUCUGCUGAGGAGAAGGAGUACAAAGAGGCAGGUCGCAGCUCACUUGCUGAACCCUCUGCCUGUGGUUUCUGUCUCUUGAGCGACUACUGGAGGCUUGAGGAGCACUGGCCCGCUGUCUCCUCCCUGGUUGGGUCAAGACCCUGAAGCCCUGCCAGCCCCAGGGUAACAAACUGCCCGUGGAGGACACCAAGCUCCCACGCAGGUUUGAAGAAAGGUUAAAGGCCAACAAGUAAAAGAGCAGCGAGGCACCUCGCCAUCCCCGAGCAGCCUCUGUCUGUCCUGCAACUCUCCAGCCCCAGCUACGAGGGCAGAUGGGAGGAAGUCUGACCUCUGCUCACAGUUCCCCUGCAGGUGAAGCAGCAGCAGACACCUGCCCAGGCAUCAAGAGCAGCUGUCACCACCGCGUUUUGGGAGGGCCAGAGGAGCUGAUUCAUUGCUGGGAGUCUGCAGCCUUGCACCAGUGUCUGUCUGCUGUCCUGCCCGGCAUCCAGCGCAGCGUUGUUCAUUGCCUGCCCCUCGCAGAGACACCAGGAGCUCGUCAGGGCUGUGCUUUAGGCAGCGUUUGGUUACAGAACUGGGAACAAGAGCUUUGAGGGGAUGUCCUGGGCAGAGGCCUUGCCGAGGAACCUGCUCCUCGGAGCCCUAUGGCUGGGUGCCCACACAGCAGAGGGCAGAGCUGUGAGCCACAGCUCGGGCCAGCAGUAGACAAGAACCGUUUUCCUUUCUGUCCAGAAGCUCCAAAUGGCAGUAUUUUCUCUGAAACACUUCUUCUGCCUGGAUGUGAUGUUUCAGGGCUGAAUGAAAAACUUUGUUUCCAUUCAUGGAGUUCUCUUUGAACUGAGGUUUUAAGCGAACCUUUUCCUCUUGAAAGCUGAGAUUAAAGAAAGGCAUCAACUGCAAAAGUAUUUCUGUUGAGAAAUAUAUCAAAAAUGCAAAAUGUUAAUUUAAAAAAAAUCCCCUAUGAUGUGUGGGGGGUGACAACAAUUCCUUUUAACAGCUGUGUUUUUCAAAGGGAAUUUUUUCCAAUCAGAAAAAUAUCAAACGGCUCUAUCAAAAUGGUGUUUCCUCCUCCUUGUUCGCAUUUUUCCCUUAUUUGGGACAUCCUGUAACAACUCAGAAUCCAGAAAGUCUUUUUUUCCCCAAAGAUUUGCAAACCUCCUCGAUGAACAAGCUUCAGGCUUGUCAUGAAACCUGAGUCCAAGGAAGGUUUCCUGGCUUCAGCUUUCAGUCUGAUGUUGCACAUGGCUCUGGCUCAGAGGAUCGCUUUAGUCUUGGAGGAGGGAUGGGAAAUCCACUUGUGCAGAGGAAAAAAAGAUGGAAAGUGUAUGGGCUGUAGUGUGGAAAAUCCAGCUGCGGGACAGCCUCUCCGUCCCCGCUGCUAAGCCCUGGGCUGGUGUCGUGCUGCAGUUCUCACCAGCUUUGGCAGCGGGGCUGGAUUGCUGUGGACCACCUUAAAUGUUUUCCAUGCCAGCUGAGCACAGAAAGCUGCUGAAAUGGGUCUCUGCUGUGCAGCGCACUCUCUCUUAGCAAUGCCCUCGUGGUGACUCAGUCCCAUUCCCCGCUUCUUUUAACCCACAGCAGGUCAAGAGUUUAACAAAGUGACUGGGGCUGGGAGCCAAGUCCCCAGAGUUGCAAUCUGCAGCCAGCAUGCCAGCAUCUGGAAAGCGUUUGUGACCAAUAAAAAAUGAAUGUGCAGACUCCGCCAAAGCAGCAAUCAUUUGGCAUCUCAAGCCCAGAUCUUUACAAGAUGAUUCUUCUGAGGCUUGGAAAGGCUUGCCUUAGUGUUUUCUAAUAAAAACAGUUUUGGGCUGGGCCAAUGGCCGGGUGAAUAGUGCUGUGCGUCGCCACAUGGGAGACAGCCAGCCGGGGAUGGGAAGACGUUGCUGGAGCCUAACCUCUGGGCUGGCUGGUGCCGGAUGCCUCGUGUCGGCGAUGCUCUCACUCGGGCCAGGGCCAGGGCACUAUGGGUGUUACAGCAGCUGCCUUUCAAACGUGCUUCGACCUUGGGCUGGUUUAUCUGGUGCCACAGGACUGCAGGGGAAGGACACAUGGAGGAACAGAGGGUAGAGGAGCGCCCAGCUAUUAGGGGCAAGAAGUACUCGGUCUUGUUAGACUGCCUUAGUCUCACCCCUGGAAAAAGUGGCCUCCAGCAUCCAGCAGCUACCUUCCCAGCUGGUGCAGCUGUCUCUGCAGGGUACUGCAGCAUUCCCACCUGUCUGUCGGUUCCUGACUGCACAAAAACAGCGGGAUUCACGUACAGGUAACACGGUAGGUCCAUGCAUAUACAGGCUUGAUACCUUCAAGUGGCAGAGGCCUGCUGUGGGUGUUCAGGAAAGGGGAAAGAGAAACAUAAUAUGUGAAUGCUGCCAGUGAGGGUCCUUGCCAAUAGCUAGCUCGUCCUGCUGUUGUUGAGCACAUCCAAGAGUCCUUCCCAUUGCUUCCGGACUCCGUCCCUAAGGAUGCAUUGAACUCAGCACCCUGCUCCUCCUUGCAGUGCUCAGCAGGAUGGGUUUGUCCAUACGGAUGUUCCUUCCCACAGCUGGAUUCCUUCUUUCUCAUUGCUUUAUCGCUCUUCUCUGGAGUGGCCAUGGCUGGCAGUCAUGUGCAAGCCUCUAGGGCUUUGGACUCCACCACCACAUACCCUGGAUUCCACUGUGAGGAAACAAACACAAAUGAAUGGAAGCUUAGUAAUUGUCUUGCAAGUUGCCAGAAUAUUUUGUGCUGGAGCUAUACGGAUGUUGUUCUUAUGGUGUCAUCCUUCUAACUACAGAAUCAAUACAGUGCCGUGGCUAGAGCAGUGCAGCUGGGGUGCAAGGAACUCCGCGGCUAACCCCUGGUUUAACUCUGAAAUAAUGAAGAGAAACUCAUGGUUGCUUGAUGGUUUCAGAGAAUGACUCUGCACAGGGCCUUCUACCACAGAAGAGGAAACUGGCAUCUAAACUGCAGGAUUAGAGCACAGUUGCAGCACAGAUGCCCUCGUUUUGUACAUUUGUUCUUGCCUUUGAGGGGCAUCAAAGCUGUAAGAUUGGGUUAGAAGGAUGUGGAAUCCUGUAAGCGAAGAAAUUUUAUUUUUUACAUUUCAAACCGUGGAUAUUUGAAGUGAGGCCCUCUGGGACUGCUAGGGCUGCGUGUAGCACUGCUGCUUUGCUAAGUUUGGUUUUGACUCAGCGUUGUUUGUUCUCACCUGGGUUCUGCAUGCCCUAGGAAGAUGAGGUAGAGUCAGCCAGUACCAGCUUCUGCACGGCAGCGUGCUUUUCUGCGUGUGUACAAAGGGUGGGUGAGGGUAACCGAGCCAGGGCAGGUAAAACCAGCAGUGUUUGAAGAGAUGUUAGUGGCUUUGGUCAACCUGUAGUAUUGCUAAACCCACUCCUUGUGUGCCUAGCCCUGGCAAAAUUAAUGAAACAAAACCAACUCCCCCCAGAAAAACUUUUUGCUUUGAAUUUGUGUCACACGUGCAAAAUCCCUCCCUCCAAAGGAAACUCAGCCAGAUCCACUUCAUUUGCCCUGCUUUGGAAACUUUAGGUUGGGCCAGGUUGGCUUUAAAGGUUGAGUGACUCCUGGCCAAAACCAGCCUGAGUUUAAAACUCAAAACAAAGAGAAAUCCAGAUACUUUCUAACUUCUGCUUUGGGACGUUUCUUGGAGCCCUGAAGUUACUGUCAGUUUGAAAUCCGUUCCUGGGAGAUGGCUGGUGCAUAUGGCCCGUGGUCUCCAGAAGUGGCAAUUCUUUUUCCUUCUGUUAUUUCUCAUACUUUUGUGGGAGGUGCCUUAUUAGCCCUAGUAAGAGAUUAUUUAGAGCUUGCAAAAUAUGUCUUGUGACUACUCAGCACUUUCCAUGCAUCCCUGAACACUGCUUCUAUUUCCUCUUGAUGGAGAUGGGGCCCGGUCUCUUUGCCUCUGUCGUCCAGUCCACGCAGCAGUUUCCUCACAGCAUUACAAAUGUUCCACUUCCUACAGAUGCUGAGAUACGUGGCCCAGGGGAUGCGUUAACCCUAGCAGUGCUGCUGCACUGACCUGAGCCUACCACUGGUAAGGAGCUGCCUUCUGGAAGCACCCCACGGGGCCGAUGCCCAGCCGCCCCAGGAGGUAGUGGGGCACUGGGUGGGCAGAUCUGUAAUAAAAAACAAGGAGGUGUUGGGCUGUGGCAUGUCCCGGACACCUAGGCAGUGCAGCCAGCAGUGGUUUGGAUGCUUUCUAUGGGAUGGCAGCUGGACGGGUGGAGGCCUGGAGGCAGAUGGCAGCAGUGGGUAGCGCAGCGUGCACGUUGGUGAGGCACAAGCAGGUGGUGCACCCACGGCACAAAGUGACAGGCGUGUGAGUGAGGCAUUUCGUCCUGUGGUGAUCCCGGGGUUGGACGCCUUGCACCAUCUGGAUUUCUGGUGACUUCCUGCUCUAGUUGGUGGCUUAAGGGCAUUGAUGCUCUUGCACACAGCAGGCUGCUGCAUGCCUACAUGGUCGCAGGAUGCUUCUCCUUAAACACAUUCUAGCGAAGGUUGCUGUGUUACAUCUAAGCGUUCUCUGUGGUUGCUGCACCACCUUCCUCUCCCCCACUUCUCUGACCGUGAAGGGUUAAAGCUGACUUUUCCCAUGUGCCUGCUGAUGAGCUGUGAAUAUGCAGCUAGGACCUGUUUUCACACAUAUGUCCCUUUCUAUAAUCCAAUCUUCUUCUCCACUGUGGCACAGACCUGGAGGCUCUUCUGCAGCAUAGUGUGGCAGGUCUGCUGCCAUGGGAUAAGAUGCAGUAGGUUGAUUUGCAUAAUCACAUAUGCAAAUAGGUCAAAUCAGGGUCCUUUCUUUCAGCUUUGGUUUUAAGGGGACUGUGUCCAUGGGCUUGAGAGCAAAGGGAUUUGAAAGGAUGGUUUCUUCUCUUGAGCUCUUGCAAAACAGAGCACAGCCUCAGCAAUGUAUUGCUUUUACCAGCCUCAUAUAGCCCACUGGGCAUAUAUGAUUAAUUGUGCAAAAUCACCUGAUAACCCAUCCCAUGCAAAUACACCCUUACCCUCUAGGCCUACAUCAUCUGUUCCCUCCACUGGAAGUGUGGACUGCAUCCUUAUGCAGGAAAUGAAAGAAACUGCAUCUCUGAGGAACAAAGGGAAUUCAUCUCUUCAUCUGGUGGAACAUUUAAAAGAUGUUAAGAGCAGCAACAGCCUCACACCUGUGGCAUACCAGAUGAGCACUGGUAGAGACACGUGGGGAGGUCAUUUUAAUGUGUGCCCUUAAAAAGGCUACAGAGAAUAAAUCAGAGCGCGGCAGUGUCUGUCAGCACUCUGAAUGAGGAUUCCAAACAUUUCUGCUCCUACUUGGUUCAGUUUCUUUCAGUUCUUUGCAUUACCCCUUGCAGGGGUAAUGGCUGGCCUGGUCCGGGCUUCGGGGGAACUCCCAAAGUUGCAGAAGAGAGCAGUGGGAACCAUCCACGAUGAAUUUGUCAGUCAGUUCACUGAUCUGUUUCCAGUAAUGAACGUUGUAGGAAAUCCCAAGGAAAACUCCAAAACAAUGAGGCUAACAAGGUAACAGUUAAGGCAGUACAUGGUCUGGACUAGAGUGACUAGGACAGGUACUAGCGGUAUCACAUGUUCUAGCCUGGCUGCUAAAAAAACCUAAAAAAUAGCAAGUGAGACUAGAGGUAAAUUGUAUGUGUCAAU